AGGUAGUAUCAUCAAGAAAAACCCAUAAAACUUGGCGGCUCUCACACCUAGAGGAACUCGCCUUAUAAUCGACAACCCCCGAUAAAUUUCACUUUUUUCCCGCUUAUAUACCGCCGUUCCAGAUGCCGCCAAAACCCGCACAUCCUAAAAACCCAGCUAAAAAAUCAGGUCAAGGUGUAGCCUAUAAUAAAGAAAAGGUAAGUUACACUAAAUACUAUUUAAGGAUCACACCCAAAGCCAAAACUGAAAAAGAAUCCAGAAGUACAUUAUAAGACAAUAUCUAUACUAGAAUACACAAACAGAGUGC
rnacentral:rRNA from 1 species